GAACAGAAGAGUGAAAUAGUUCCUGAACCCAUACGCCUACAAGCUGUCGGAGCCGCUUCGUGCGGUGACGGCGUGCCUUUUGCAUAAUGAGCCUACGAGUUACUCAUCACCAGCGAGGUUAAGUACUUCAGGUACGUAAGCCGAAGCGAAAGCGAGUCUGAAUAGGGCGUCAAGUUGGUGGUGGUAGACGCGAAACCUUAGUGAUCUACCCAUGGGCAGGGUGAAGGUUUGGUAACACAAACUGGAGGCCCGAACCGGUAAACGUUGAAAAGUUUUCGGAUGACCUGUGGGUAGGGGUGAAAGGCCAAUCAAACUGGGAAAUAGCUCGUACUCUCCGAAAUGCAUUUAGGUGCAGCCUCUGUUGUUUUGUUCUAGAGGUAGAGCUACUGAUUGGAUGCGAGGGCUUCACCGCCUAUCAAAUCCGGCCAAACUCCGAAUGCUAGAACAUGAAGACAGGGAGUGAGCCAGCGGGUGCUAAGGUCCGUUGACGAAAGAGGGAGAACUCAGACCAUCAGCUAAGGUCCCCAAUUAUAUGCUAAGUUGGAAUAAAAACGGGGUGGGACUGCUUAGACAGCUAGGAUGUUGGCUUGGAAGCAGCCAUUCAUUUAAAGAGUGCGUAACAGCUCACUAGUCGAGCGGUCCUGCAUGGAUAAUACGCGGGCAUAAGCAUAUAACCGAAGCUAUGGGAUUGUAGAUGAUACAAUCGGUAGGAGAGCAUUCCAUUCAGCAUAGAAGCAGUACCGUGAGGUAUUGUGGAGCGGAUGGAAAAGCAAAUGUAGGCAUAAGUAACGAUAAUGCGGGUGAGAACCCCGCACGCCGAAAGAUCAAGGAUUCCCCGGCAAUGUCAAUCAUCCGGGGGUAAGUCGGAUCCUAAGGGUAAGCCGAGUGGCGAUCCCGAUGGUAAACAGGUUAAUAUUCCUGUACUGAUCAUAACUGCGAUGCAGCGACGCAGAGGUGACACUGCUGCGUACUGACGGAAUAGUACGUUGAAACCCGUAUUCUUUGAUACCGGUAGUGAAGCACGCCGGUAGAGAUGAAAGGUGAUAGUACCGCAAUGCUUCGGUUGCGCGGAUAAUGCAGGUAAGCUGACUGCCAAGAAAACCUGCUAAGCUUCAGGUAAUGAUCAUCCGUACUGUAAACGGACACACGUGAUCAGGUAGAAAAUACUAAGGCGCUCGAGAGAUUCAUGGUUAAGGAACUAGGCAAAAUGGUCCUGUAACUUCGGGAUAAAGGACGCUCUUGUGAAAGAGCCGCAGAUAAUAGGCCCAGGCGACUGUUUACCAAAAACACAUGGCUAUGCUAAUUCGCAAGAAGAUGUAUAUGGCCUGACACCUGCCCGGUGCCGGAAGGUUAAGAGGAGAGCUCAGAGGUAACUCGAAGGUUUGAAUUGAAGCCCCGGUAAACGGCGGCCGUAACUAUAACGGUCCUAAGGUAGCGAAAUUCCUUGUCGGGUAAGUUCCGACCUGCACGAAUGGUGUAACGAUCUGGGUACUGUCUCAACCAUGAGCUCGGUGAAAUUGUAGUUCCGGUGAAGAUGCCGGAUACCCGCAACGGGACGGAAAGACCCCGUGAACCUUUACUGCAGCUUUGCAUUGAUUUUGGGUAACAGAUGUGUAGGAUAGGUCGGAGGCUUUGAUGCUGCGUCGUCAGGCGUAGAGUAGCCGUCGUUGAAAUACGACCCUUUUGUUAUCUGAGGUCUAAUCCCGUUAGGGAGACAUUGCAUGGUGGGUAGUUUGACUGGGGUGGUCGCCUCCAAAAGUGUAACGGAGGCUUCUCAAGGUACCCUCAAGGCGUUUGGUAAUCGUCUGCAGAGUGCAAUGGCAUAAGGGUGCUUGACUGUGAGACCGACACGUCGAUCAGGUUGGAAACAAGAGCAUAGUGAUCCGGUGGUUCCGCAUGGAAGGGCCAUCGCUCAAAGGAUAAAA
rnacentral:rRNA from 1 species